rnacentral:rRNA from 1 species
CCUACGGGAGGCAGCAGUGGGGAAUAUUGGACAAUGGGCGGGAAGCCUGAUCCAGCCAUGCCGCGUGUGUGAAGAAGGCCUUUUGGUUGUAAAGCACUUUAAGCGAGGAGGAGGCUACUAGUAUUAAUACUACUGGAUAGUGGACGUUACUCGCAGAAUAAGCACCGGCUAACUCUGUGCCAGCAGCCGCGGUAAUACAGAGGGUGCGAGCGUUAAUCGGAUUUACUGGGCGUAAAGCGUGCGUAGGCGGCUGAUUAAGUCGGAUGUGAAAUCCCUGAGCUUAACUUAGGAAUUGCAUUCGAUACUGGUCAGCUAGAGUAUGGGAGAGGAUGGUAGAAUUCCAGGUGUAGCGGUGAAAUGCGUAGAGAUCUGGAGGAAUACCGAUGGCGAAGGCAGCCAUCUGGCCUAAUACUGACGCUGAGGUACGAAAGCAUGGGGAGCAAACAGGAUUAGAUACCCUGGUAGUCCAUGCCGUAAACGAUGUCUACUAGCCGUUGGGGUCUUUGAGACUUUAGUGGCGCAGCUAACGCGAUAAGUAGACCGCCCUGGGGAGUACGGUCGCAAGACUAAAACUCAAAUUGAAAUUGACGG